rnacentral:rRNA from 1 species
GACGAACGCUGGCGGCGUGCUUAACACAUGCAAGUCGAACGAUGACGACCGAGCUUGCUCGGUCUGAUUAGUGGCGAACGGGUGAGUAACACGUGAGCAACCUGCCCUUCACUCUGGGAUAACCUCGGGAAAUCGGGGCUAAUACCGGAUAUGAGCUCCUGUCGCAUGGCGGGUGUUGGAAAGUUUUUCGGUGAAGGAUGGGCUCGCGGCCUAUCAGUUUGUUGGUGAGGUAGUGGCUCACCAAGGCGAUGACGGGUAGCCGGCCUGAGAGGGCGACCGGCCACACUGGGACUGAGACACGGCCCAGACUCCUACGGGAGGCAGCAGUGGGGAAUAUUGCACAAUGGGCGAAAGCCUGAUGCAGCGACGCCGCGUGAGGGAUGACGGCCUUCGGGUUGUAAACCUCUUUCAGCAGGGAAGAAGCGAAAGUGACGGUACCCGCAGAAGAAGCGCCGGCUAACUACGUG